rnacentral:tRNA from 2 species
CUGUGAGGGCUCUCAGCCACAUGGAUAGUUCAAUGUGCUCAUAGAAUAGAAGAAGCGUCGGACUCCUUCAUGCAUGC